rnacentral:hammerhead_ribozyme from 1 species
AUCCAGAUGACAAGUCUCAAAUAGGACGAAAUGCGCAUUGUCCUGGAU